CGCGAGGUACCCGGCGUGGUGAGUACUUGGAGAAGCUGUAUCCUCGCGCGUGUAGUUUGGAGUUGACAUGAGACUUUCUCCGCAAAGAUAGCGGACAAAACGCGGGAUGUGGUUAGACAGGCCCGCACGAGGGGAACCUAGAGCAGUUAACGAAAAAGAAUUUCAAAACUGCUCAGUUCGACAAAGGGCUGCUGACCACUAGGAAAUGUGCUGGGAGAGGAAGAGAUGGAAAAGCAGGGUGGAAGUCAAUUAAACACAUCUAAACCUCCAGAGUGGAAUGAGGCUUGGGAUCUCACAGUAAGCAGUGCUGGAGAUUUGAGCAGUAUGCAGUAUGCUGGUUUGUGCUAAAUACAAUCAAGUUUACUUAA